rfam:Fusobacterium mortiferum ATCC 9817 genomic scaffold supercont2.2, whole genome shotgun sequence.
AAAACAGAUUGAGGAGCAGUCGAUAAGAGUAAUAUUUAUGAGCUUCCAGAGCUAAGAUUAAAUAUGAAAGGUAAAACUGCCGAAGUGAAAAUUUUCUCUGGAGAAAAUUUUUGCUGGGUAUAUGGAUAAUAUCUAUAUAACUGUCAUUGAGAAAUUCAAUGUUGUGCUUUCUGUGGA